rnacentral:rRNA from 1 species
UACGAGAGGCCCAAACGUUAUUCGGAAUUACUGGGCUUAAAGAGUUCGUAGGCGGCGCAGAAAGUAGGGUGUGAAAGCCCUCGGCUCAACCGAGGAAUUGCGCUCUAAACUACUGUGCUUGAGGAAUCUAGAGGUGAGCGGAACAAAUGGUGGAGCGGUGAAAUGCGUAGAUAUCAUUUGGAACGCCAAUGGUGAAAACAGGUAGCUGGGGAUGUGCUGACGCUGAGACACGAAAGCCAGGGGAGCAAACGGG